CGGAGGGUGCAAGCGUUAUCCGGAUUCACUGGGUUUAAAGGGUGCGUAGGUGGGCAAGUAAGUCAGUGGUGAAAUCUCCGGGCUUAACCCGGAAACUGCCAUUGAUACUAUUUGUCUCGAAUACUGUGGAGGUCAGCGGAAUAUGUCAUGUAGCGGUGAAAUGCUUAGAUAUGACAUAGAACACCAAUUGCGAAGGCAGCUGGCUACACAAAUAUUGACACUGAGGCACGAAAGCGUGGGGAUCAAACAGGAUUAGAUACCCUGGUAGUCCACGCCCUAAACUAUGGAUACUCGACAUUUGCGAUAAACUGCAAGUGUCUGAGCGAAAGCAUUAAGUAUCCCACCUGGGAAGUACGAUCGCAAGAUUG
rnacentral:rRNA from 1 species